rnacentral:rRNA from 1 species
CCCUUGACUGGGGGAUAGCCCGCCGAAAGGCGGAUUAAUACCGCAUAACCUCGCAGUGUGGCAUCACACAACGAGUAAAGAUUUAUUGGUCAAGGAUGGGGUUGCGUGACAUUAGCUAGUUGGCGGGGUAACGGCCCACCAAGGCGACGAUGUCUAGGGGACCUGAGAGGGUGAUCCCCCACACUGGCACUGAGAUACGGGCCAGACUCCUACGGGAGGCAGCAGUAGGGAAUAUUGGGCAAUGGGCGAGAGCCUGACCCAGCCAUGCCGCGUGCCGGAUGAAGGCCUUCUGGGUUGUAAACGGCUUUUCUCAGGGAAGAAAAAGACCUUGCGAGGUACACUGACGGUACCUGAGGAAUAAGCACCGGCUAACUCCGUGCCAGCAGCCGCGGUAAUACGGAGGGUGCAAGCGUUGUCCGGAUUUAUUGGGUUUAAAGGGUGCGUAGGCGGCCCGUUAAGUCCGGGGUGAAAGCCCACUGCUCAACAGUGGAACUGCCCUG